AGUGAACGCUGGCGGUAGGCCUAAUACAUGCAAGUCGAACGGCAGCACAGUAAGAGUUUGCUCUUACGGGUGGCGAGUGGCGGACGGGUGAGGCAUACAUCGGAAUCUACUUUUUCGUGGGGGAUAACGUAGGGAAACUUACGCUAAUACCGCAUACGACCUACGGGUGAAAGCAGGGGAUCUUCGGACCUUGCGCGAUUGAAUGAGCCGAUGUCGGAUUAGCUAGUUGGCGGGGUAAAGGCCCACCAAGGCGACGAUCCGUAGCUGAUCUGAGAGGAUGAUCAGCCACGCUGGAACUGAGACACGGUCCAGACUCCUACGGGAGGCAGCAGUAGGGAAUAUUGGACAAUGGGCGCGAGCCUGAUCCAGCCAUGCCGCGUGAGUGAAGAAGGCCUUCGGAUUGUAAAGCCCUUUUGUUAGGAAAGAAAAGCAGCAGAUUAAUACCCCGCUGUUCUGACGGUACCCAAAGAAUAAGCACCGGCUAACUUCGUG
rnacentral:rRNA from 1 species